AAACAACUCUCAGCAACGGAUAUCUUGGCUCUUGCAACGAUGAAGAACGCAGCGAAAUGCGAUACGUAGUGUGAAUUGCAGAAUUCCGCGAAUCAUCGAGUCUUUGAACGCAAGUUGCGCCCGAGGCUUGUCCGAGGGCAUUUCCGCUAGAGCGUCACCGCGCCCCCCCCCCCACCACCAACCCCACUCCCGCGUGGAGUCGGGGUCGAGUGAAAGUG
rnacentral:rRNA from 1 species